rnacentral:rRNA from 1 species
CCUACGGGAGGCAGCAGUGAGGAAUAUUGGUCAAUGGCCGAGAGGCUGAACCAGCCAAGUCGCGUGAAGGAGGAAGGCCCUCGGGUUGUUAAAUUCUUUUGUCAGGGGCGAAAAAAGUGACGGUACCUGACGGAUAAGCCACGGGUAACUACGUGACCGCAGCCGCGGUAAUACGUAGGUUGCAAGCGUUAUCCGGAUUUACUGGGUGUAAAGGGCGUGGAGGCGGGACUGUAAGUAAGAUGUGAAAUUCGAGGGGCUAACCAUGGAACUGCAUUUGAAACUGUAGUUCUUGAGUGAUGGAGAGGCAGGCGGAAUGCGGGGUGUAGCGGUGAAAUGCGUAGAUAGACGGAGGAACACCGGUGGCGAAGGCAGCCUGCUGGACAAUAACUGACGCUGAGGCGCGAAAGCGUGGGUAGCGAACAGGAUUAGAUACCCGAGUAGUC